rnacentral:rRNA from 1 species
GUCGGGAGUCUUGCACAAUGGGGGAAACCCUGAUGCAGCGACGUCGCGUGUGGGAUGAAGUAUUUCGGUAUGUAAACCACUUUUGCGGGGGGCGAAAAAAAUGACGGUACCCCGCGAAUAAGCCCCGGCUAACUACGUGCCAGCAGCCGCGGUAAUACGUAGGGGGCGAGCGUUGCUCGGAUUGACUGGGCGUAAAGCGCGCGUAGGCGGUCCAUUAAGUGUGCGGUGAAAUUCGGAGGCUCAACCUCCGUCCCGCCGCGCAAACUGAUGGUCUUGAGAUUGGGAGGGGGAUGCGGAAUUCCUGGUGUAGCGGUGAAAUGCAUUGAUAUCAGGAGGAACACCGGCGGCGAAAGCGGCAUCCUGGCUUAUAUCUGACGCUGAGGCGCGAAAGCGUGGGUAGCAAACGGGAUUAGAUACCCGGGUAGUCC